rnacentral:lncRNA from 1 species
CAGACUUAAAAAAAAAAAAAAAAAAAUCGUCACAGCUACCCCAACCUUCAGCAACCAGCACCCUAACCAGUCAGCAGCCAUCAACAUCAAGGCAGGACCCUCUACCGGCAAAAGGAUUACAACUUGCUCAAGGCUCAGAUGAUCAUUAGGGUUGCAGAGAGCUGAGAUCGUGCAAUUGCACUCCAGCCUGGGUGACAGAGUGAGACUCCUUUUCAAAAAAAAAAAAAAAAAAAAAAAAGAAGAGUUUUCCAGUCAAAGCAAAGCCAUUAGGGAAAAGGCAUCAAUCAAAAAAGUAAAGAGAACAGAGUUAUAAAGCCUCAAACAUUUGAGGGUAGGAGGUGAGGAUGAAAGAGGCACAGAGGGCUGAGGAGGGCUGGAACUCUAUCCUGAAGGUGAAAUGGAGUCACUGGAAGCAUUGGGCAUUACUGGCCACAAUGGAGAGAAUGGAGGUGGUAGAAUUUGGGGUGGAUUUGGAGGGAGGAGGGAGGUGGACAUCUAGCAUGGUCCCAGUUGUUUAUCCUCCACCCCUAUAAGGCACAGAGCACAGCAUGUUCUCUGCACAAAGGAAGUACUUGACAAAAGUGGCUGGCCAAUGGUUUCCUUUUCUUGCUUUAGCCUCAAGGAAAGGGUAAGCCUCAGGUCCC